rnacentral:rRNA from 1 species
CCAAUAGCGUAUAUUAAAGUUGUUGCAGUUAAAAAGCUCGUAGUUGAAUUUCGGGGUUAGUACGCUGGUCGUGCCUUCGGUACGUACUGGUGUUACUGAUUCCUACCUUCUGAAGAACCGUCAUGUCAUUAAUUUGGUGUGGCGGGGAAUCAGGACUGUUACUUUGAAAAAAUUAGAGUGUUUAAAGCAGGCUCGCGCUUGAAUACAUUAGCAUGGAAUAAUGAAAUAGGACGUUUGAUCCUAUUUUGUUGGUUUCUAGGAUUGACGUAAUGAUUAAUAGGGAUAGUUGGGGGCAUUAGUAUUCAAUUGUCAGAGGUGAAAUUCUUGGAUUUAUUGAAGACUAACUACUGCGAAAGCAUUUGCCAAGGAUGUUUUCAUUAAUCAAGAACGAAAGUUAGGGGAUCGAAGACGAUCAGAUACCGUCGUAGUCUUAACCAUAAACUAUGCCGACUAGGGAUCGGAUGAUGUUAAUUUUUUAAUGACUCAUUCGGCGCCUUAC